rnacentral:rRNA from 1 species
UUCGGCUGUCACUUAUGGAUGGACCCGCGUCGCAUUAGCUAGUUGGUGAGGUAACGGCUCACCAAGGCAACGAUGCGUAGCCGACCUGAGAGGGUGAUCGGCCACACUGGGACUGAGACACGGCCCAGUUUCCUACGGGAGGCAGCAGUAGGGAAUCUUCCGCAAUGGACGAAAGUCUGACGGAGCAACGCCGCGUGAGUAGAUGAAGGCUUUCGUCGAGUCGUAAAACUCUGUUGUUAGGGUCAGAACAAGUGCUAGUUGAAUAAGCUGGCACCUUGACGGUACCUAACCAGAAAGCCACGGCUAACUACGUGCCAGCAGCCGCGGUAAUACGUAGGUGGCAAGCGUUAUCCGGAAUUAUUGGGCGUAAAGCGCGCGCAGGUGGUUAAGUAAGUCUGAUGUGAAAGCCCACGGCUCAACCGUGGAGGGUCAUUGGAAACUGGGAGACUUGAGUGCAGAAGAGGAAUUCGGUGGAAUUCCAUGUGUAGCGGUGAAAUGCGUAGAGAUAUGGAGGAACACCAGUGGCGAAGGCGACUUUCUGGUCUGUAACUGACANCUGAGGCGCGAAAGCGUGGNGGAGCAAACAGGAUUAGAUACCCNUG